AUGAACAUUUUAGCCUGGAACUGUCGGGGAUUGGGGUUGGACCCAACAGUAGGCGAACUUCGGCUGGUUAGGUCAUACAACCCAGUAGUGGUUUUCUUAUCCGAAACAAAAAAAUCUUCAAGCUCAAUGGAAAGACUGAAAUGGAGCCUAGGCUUCAAGCAUGGUGUAGCUGUGAACUGUAAGGGGAAGAGCGGGGGUCUUGCUCUGUGG
rnacentral:rRNA from 1 species